rnacentral:rRNA from 1 species
UACGUAGGGUGCAAGCGUUGUCCGGAAUUAUUGGGCGUAAAGAGCUCGUAGGCGGUCUGUCGCGUCUGCUGUGAAAACUCAGGGCUUAACCCUGAGCUUGCAGUGGGUACGGGCAGACUAGAGUGCGGUAGGGGAGACUGGAAUUCCUGGUGUAGCGGUGAAAUGCGACAGAUAUCAGGAGGGAACACCGGUGGCGAAAGGCGGGUCUCUGGGCCGGUAACUGACGCUGGAGGAGCGGAAAGCAUGGGGAGCGAACAG